UACGUAGGGUGCAAGCGUUGUCCGGAUUUAUUGGGCGUAAAGAGCUUGUAGGCGGUUUGUCGCGUCUGCUGUGAAAUUUCGGGGCUCAACCCCGAACUUGCAGUGGGUACGGGCAGACUAGAGUGUGGUAGGGGAGACUGGAAUUCCUGGUGUAGCGGUGAAAUGCGCAGAUAUCAGGAGGAGCACCGAUGGCGAAGGCAGGUCUCUGGGCCAUAACUGACGCUGAGAAGCGAAAGCAUGGGGAGCGAACAGG
rnacentral:rRNA from 1 species